rnacentral:rRNA from 1 species
UACGUAGGGUGCAAGCGUUAAGCGGAAUUACUGGGCGUAAAGCGUGCGCAGGCGGUUUUGUAAGGCAGAUGUGAAAUCCCCGGGCUUAACCUGGGAACUGCGUUUGAAACUACAAGGCUAGAGUGUAGCAGAGGGGGGUGGAAUUCCACGUGUAGCAGUGAAAUGCGUAGAGAUGUGGAGGAACACCGAUGGCGAAGGCAGCCCCCUGGGUUAACACUGACGCUCAGGCACGAAAGCCAGGGGAGCGAACGGG